ACUAUAUUUUAGGGGAAUAAAGGAAAACAAAGCUCCAAUGGCUCUCUGUCAGCUCCCAAUCGGGUCGCAUAUGAGAACCCAACUCGUUGCUGCGAAUAUUUGCGCCGACGCCGUUGCUCCCAAUCGCCACGAUUUUUCUUUUUCCCGCGCCCUCCUCCUGCCUUCGCACCUCUAUCGGUCGAUUUGGUGCGCGUGUUGCGGCGGAGAGCCGGCGACCUCUGCUGCUUGCCGCUACGCUAUCCUCCACUGCGACAUGAAUCCCAGAAACAGCGCGUCUCUAACGGAUGGAACAAGGUCGCCGACGACAGGAAAUCACUCCGCGGCGGACGGAGAUGUAGAGGUUCAGGAAUUUCUUGAGUUUUGUGACUCCCAGCAGCCAGACAAUAUGGAGAUAUGUUAGAGGAUAGUCCACCAGAAGUUGAAGAUCGUAAGAGGCCAAGUGGAAUUUUUUUUUUAAAAAAAAAGCUAAAGCAUUGCGAAGAGGUGGAAAAGAUUCUUAUUUGGAGGCUUCAAAACAUUUAUGGGAAAGAGAAGAAGGAGGUUGUUGCAGAGAAAGAAAAGAAAAAUGAGGAAAAAGGUUCAAUCUUUCAUAUGAACUAGAGAAAGAGAGGCUUCAGGUUUUGAUCAUAUUAGGGCUGCAAAUGAGGCAAAAAAAAAAUAGAGGUAAAGGAAAGCGAGAUACAGAUGAAAAGAAUGUUAGAGGAAGAGAGGAUUAUGACAAUGGACAUCAGUUCAAUCUUUCAUAUGAACUAGAGAAAUAUAUAUAGGGCUGCAAAUGUUGGGUGUGGAGUCGAACUUUCAUGUUUUUUUUUCCAGACUCGCUCUCUGUUGUGUGUGCAUGUCUGUGCGAGGUGGAGUCAGAUGUGCGUGUGUUUAUAAAUUACAGUAUGAAUCAGAGCUUGUGCUGUUGUCUCGUAUGCUGAACUGCAAAUAUAAUUUCCACUUGUUGUUGCCAGCAAAUAGAAAGAAGAAAUAUAGCAGGUAAUAUUGAAUA